rnacentral:rRNA from 1 species
AUGGUGAUACACCUGACGAUGGCGCGGAUUCGACGGUCGAGAAGGAACUCCAUACGCGGCCGGCCACGCCGGAAUGCCAACAUGCUACAGGCCCGCGAGGCAAAGUUGGACGCAACGGACGGCAACCAGCAAAGAUGGGCCAACAUGCAGGAGGACAUCCUGCAAAUAAUAACAUCUCGGAUUGACGUGCUUAGUCGUGCUCGACUUGCUGGUACUUGCACCGUCCUUCUAGAGACAGUUCCUAGAAUAUCCCUUGACUUGCCGCUUGAUUUACCAUGCGUGCUUGAGGAUGAUAUCUCGUGGCCGAUCGGGCUGCCACAGGAAGGUACGCGGUGUACGCUCAUGCCUCUGGAUGCCCCGGCGCUGCAUGCACGCUUGAUGUCUACUCCUGCCAAACGCUGGGUUGGUGCUAACGGUGACUGGCUAGCGUAUGUCGGGGAUGCUGGCCAUAUUGAACUGUACAAUGUGUACACAACUGUCACUGUGCCACUUCCGCCCAUUUCCAGCAUAGGGUUUGAUCUGGUUGACUUGCCAGACAGCGUGCAAUUCCACUUUGAUCAAGCAAGGGCAAAACCGAAGAAGAUAGCUAUCGCUGAUGCACCAUCCAAGAAGGCCGGCUAUAGCAACGCGGUGUUCGACAUCUCAAUUGCCAUCGCCAGGGGUGGUUUCACCUCGGACGGGUGGAAACUAUUAAGGUCGGACCUCAUGUUCCCUUUUGUGUAUGAAGAUGCUGUUCUUCAUGGCGGACGGAUCUUUGCACUGACAAACGGGGGGUCUGUUUUCGUUUGGCAGCUCUCGUACGGAUUGAACUUGGCUCCUCAGAAAAUCCCGGCUCCUGUUAUCAUCGAUGGACAGGACCUCACGCCUCUCUCUUGGAAUCUUGUACCUGACAUAAAUGACAAUCAAACUAUGUUAUUGGUCCACACAUGUGGGGUCGUAACAGGGGAAGAGGUCGAGAGUCCAUAUCUGGAGCGAGGACUGCGCUCAUAUGGAACAAUGCGCUGCCUUGUGUUCCAGUUGAAUGGCAUGGUCUGGAAUCUUGCUGGGGCUCACUGGGAAAGGAAGCAUGAUCUUGGAGCAUACUCUCUGUUCAUUGGCAUGAAUUAUCCACUGAUGAUUGAAAUGCCACCAUCUGUACAUGAUGCCCAGGACCUUCCCUUCAUGAAGCAUGGAUGCAUUUUCAGUAUGCAUGAACGCAUUAGGAGUUGGAAUGGAGACUUUCCUGACCUAUGCCGUUUCAGCUUGAAUGAAGAUCUUGCACUAGGUGUAGAACUUACCAGCAAUCAAGCUCGGGCGCGAUGCCCCCCUAUCUGGCUCGUGCCAUCCAUGCGGAACGCAGAGGACUGGAAUGUCCGCUAA